UAAAUUGCUUUUAUUCUGGUCUAUUUUCUCUCUGUUGUUCAGGUUGGAUAAUUUCUAUUGUUCUGUCUUCAGUUUGCUGAUUCCUUCCUCUGUCU